CCUACGGGAGGCAGCAGUAGGGAAUAUUGCUCAAUGGGCGAAACCCUGAACCAGCAACGCCGCGUGGAGGAUGAAGGUUUUCGGAUUGUAAACUCCUUUUGUUAGAGAAGAUAAUGACGGUAUCUAACGAAUAAGCACCGGUUAACUCCGUGCCAGCAGCCGGGGUAAUACGGAGGGUGCAAGCGUUACUCGGAAUCACUGGGCGUAAACAGCGCGUAGGAGGGAUAGCAAGUCAGAUGUUAAAUCCUAGGGCUGAACCAUAGAACUGCAUUUGAAACUGUUAGUCUAGAGGAUGGGAGAGGUAGGUGGAAGUCGUGGUGUAGGGGUAAAAUGCGUAGAGAUCAAGAAGAAUACUGAUUGCGAAGGCGGCCUGCUAGAACAUAACUGACGCUGAUGCGCGAAAGCGUGGGGAGCAAACAGGAUUAGAUACCCGAGUAGUC
rnacentral:rRNA from 1 species